rnacentral:rRNA from 1 species
UACGGAGGGUGCAAGCGUUAUCCGGAUUCACUGGGUUUAAAGGGUGCGUAGGAGGGCAGGUAAGUCAGUGGUGAAAUCUCCGGGCUCAACCCGGAAAUGGCAUUGGAAACUGGGCAGCUAGAGUGUGGUAGAGGUCUCGGGAAUUCCGGGUGGUAGCGGUGAAAUGCGUAGAUAUCUGGAGGAACACCGGUGGCGAAAGCGCGAGACUGGGCCAUAACUGACGCUGAGGAGCGAAAGCGUGGGGAGCGAACAGG